rnacentral:rRNA from 1 species
AUGAGGCACGCUGCAUUUUGCGGCGCUCCAAAGCCUACAAAGUCCAUGAGGGCGAGCUUUAUAAGAAAAGCACUACGGGGGUACUUCAAAGAUGUAUCUCCGAGGAAGGGCGGCAACUCUUGGCUGAAAUUCAUGCCGGACUCGGCGGUCACCAUGCCGCAGUUUGGGCCCUUUGUAAGCAAGGCCUUCCAUACAGGUUUUUACUGGCCAACGGCCCAAGCAGACGCACAAGACCUUGUCCAACAUUGCGUCGGAUGCCAGCUUUUCACCAACCAAAGCCAUAUGCCACCCACCGCCCUACAAACAAUCCCCAUAACCUGGCCUUUCGAGGUCUGGGGGCUUGAUAUGGUUGGAUCCCUUAAAGGAGGAAGCCAUAAGAAAAUAUACUUGUUGGUCAUGGUGGACAAAUUCACCAAAUGGAUAGAAGCCAAACCAGUCAAAACAGCCGAAUCUGGACCCGUGAUAGACUUCAUAUCGGGUGUAGUACACUGUUAUGGUGCCCCCCACAGCAUCAUCACCGACAAUGGCUCCAAUUUCACGGCCGAUGAGGUGAAAACUUGGUGCGGCAAGAUGGACAUUAAGCUCGAUUAUGCCUCCGUCUAUCACCCUCAAACAAACUAUCAAGUCGAACGAGCCAAUGGUCUUACUAUGAGCGGCAUUAAACCUAGACUAGUGCGAUACUUAAAAGAAUUAGACAGGCACUGGGUUGAGGAUCUUGACUUCGUACUCUAG